UGGGGAAUUUUGCGCAAUGGGCGAAAGCCUGACGCAGCAAUACCGCGUGAGUGAAGAAGGCCUUUGGGUCGUAAAGCUCUUUUCUUAGGGAAGAUAGUGACGGUACCUAAGGAAUAAGCACCGGCUAACUCCGUGCCAGCAGCCGCGGUAAUACGGAGGGUGCAAGCGUUGUUCGGAUUUACUGGGCGUAAAGGGCACGUAGGCGGCAUAGCAAGUUAAGGGUGAAAUCCCGGGGCUCAACUCCGGAACUGCUCUUAAAACUGCUAAGCUAGAGAUAGUCAGAGGCGGGUGGAAUUCCAGGUGUAGAGGUGAAAUUCGUAGAUAUCUGGAGGAACACCGGUGGCGAAGGCGGCCCGCUGGGGCUUAUCUGACGCUAAGGUGCGAAAGCGUGGGGAGCGAACG
rnacentral:rRNA from 1 species